rnacentral:rRNA from 1 species
GAUCAUGGCUCAGAUUAAACGCUGGCGGCAUGCCUUACACAUGCAAGUCGAACGGCAGCGACGGGGGGAACCCUGGUGGCGAGUGGCGAACGGGUGAGUAAAGCAUCGGAACGUGCCCUGGAGUGGGGGAUAACGUAGCGAAAGUUACGCUAAUACCGCAUAUUCUGUGAGCAGGAAAGCAGGGGAUCGCAAGACCUUGCGCUCUGGGAGCGGCCGAUGUCGGAUUAGCUAGUUGGUGGGGUAAAGGCCUACCAAGGCGACGAUCCGUAGCGGGUCUGAGAGGAUGAUCCGCCACACUGGGACUGAGACACGGCCCAGACUCCUACGGGAGGCAGCAGUGGGGAAUUUUGGACAAUGGGCGAAAGCCUGAUCCAGCCAUGCCGCGUGAGUGAAGAAGGCCUUCGGGUUGUAAAGCUCUUUCGGUGGGGAAGAAAUUGCACGGGUUAAUAGCCUGUGUAGAUGACGGUACCUGGAGAAGAAGCACCGGCUAACUACGUG